rnacentral:rRNA from 1 species
ACGAAAGCUAGGGGAGCGAAUGGGAUUAGAUACCCCAGUAGUCCUAGCCGUAAACGAUGGAUACUAGGUGUUGUCUGUAUCGACCCGGACAGUGCCGUAGCUAACGCGUUAAGUAUCCCGCCUGGGGAGUACGCACGCAAGUGUGAAACUCAAAGGAAUUGACGGGGGCCCGCACAAGCGGUGGAGUAUGUGGUUUAAUUCGAUGCAACGCGAAGAACCUUACCAGGCGUCGACGCGGCCGCGGCCGCGUCGACACCGUUACCAAAUCUUGGACAUCCUCUGACCCCUCUAGAGAUAGAGUUUUCCCCUUCGGGGGACAGAGUGACAGGUGGUGCAUGGUUGUCGUCAGCUCGUGUCGUGAGAUGUUGGGUUAAGUCCCGCAACGAGCGCAACCCUUAAGCUUAGUUGCCAUCAUUAAGUUGGGCACUCUAAGUUGACUGCCGGUGACAAACCGGAGGAAGGUGGGGAUGACGUCAAAUCAUCAUGCCCCUUAUGAUUUGGGCUACACACGUGCUACAAUGGACAAUACAAAGGGCAGCGAAACCGCGAGGUACC